CGAGCACGCGCGUGUGGCAUAUCAAUAAGCGGAGGAAAAGAAACUAACAAGGAUUCCCUUAGUAACGGCGAGUGAAGCGGGAAGAGCUCAAAUUUGAAUCUUCAAGGUUCUACCUUGACGAAUUGUAGUUUAUAGAAGUGCUUUCUGUUAGUGGAGUGGCAAAAGUUCUUUGGAAUAGGACAUCAUAGAGGGUGAGAAUCCCGUAUUUGGUCAUUCCUCCUAGCGUUGUGAUACACUUUCAACGAGUCGGAUUGUUUGGGAAUGCAGUCCAAAAUGGGUGGUAAAUUUCAUCUAAAGCUAAAUAUUGGCGAGAGACCGAUAGCGAACAAGUACCGUGAGGGAAAGAUGAAAAGAACUUUGAAAAGAGAGUUAAACAGUACGUGAAAUUGUCAAAAGGGAAGCGCUUGACACCAGUGUUGUUUUUCCGAAAAUCAAUUACGAAUGUUUUAUUUUUGAGGAGUUAUGACUUCAUCGGCUUGCUCCUUUCUUUACUGAAACUUUCUUAAUGCACUUUUCGGUUAACAAGUCAACAUCAAUUUCUUUUGUUGUAAAAGGGUAUGAGGAAGGUGGCUUUCUUUUCGGAGAAAGUGUUUAUAGCCUUGUGCCUCUGCAAUCGGAGAGAUUGAGGUCUGCAGCGUAGAUCCUUCGGGGUUAGAUACGUUUGUGCUAAGUUAUAGCUUUUCAUAGACAACUUGUUGACUAUGUUCAGUCAUUGUAGCUUACUCGCUAUGCCUAUUUUACCUACGCUUAGGAUGUUGAGUAGCGACAUACGCAC
rnacentral:rRNA from 1 species